rnacentral:rRNA from 1 species
CGUAGGGUGCGAGCGUUAAUCGGAAUUACUGGGCGUAAAGCGUGCGCAGGCGGUUUGUUAAGAUAGGCGUGAAAUCCCCGGGCUCAACCUGGGAACUGCGCUUAUGACUGGCAAGCUAGAGUACGGCAGAGGGGGUGGAAUUCCACGUGUAGCAGUGAAAUGCGUAGAGAUGUGGAGGAACACCAAUGGCGAAGGCAGCCCCCUGGGUCGAUACUGACGCUCAUGCACGAAAGCGUGGGUAGCAAACAGGAUUAGAUACCCUGGUAGUCCACGCCCUAAACGAUGUCAACUAGGUGUUGGGAGGGUAAAACCUUUUAGUACCGGAGCUAACGCGUGAAGUUGACCGCCUGGGGGAUACGGCCGCAAGGUUA